rnacentral:rRNA from 1 species
UGCAAGUCGAACGGUGAAGCAGAGCUUGCUCUGUGGAUCAGUGGCGAACGGGUGAGUAACACGUGAGCAACCUGCCCCUGACUCUGGGAUAAGCGCUGGAAACGGCGUCUAAUACUGGAUACGAGCAACGGCCGCAUGGCCAGUUGUUGGAAAGAUUUUUUGGUUGGGGAUGGGCUCGCGGCCUAUCAGCUUGUUGGUGAGGUAAUGGCUCACCAAGGCGUCGACGGGUAGCCGGCCUGAGAGGGUGACCGGCCACACUGGGACUGAGACACGGCCCAGACUCCUACGGGAGGCAGCAGUGGGGAAUAUUGCACAAUGGGCGGAAGCCUGAUGCAGCAACGCCGCGUGAGGGAUGACGGCCUUCGGGUUGUAAACCUCUUUUAGCAGGGAAGAAGCGAAAGUGACGGUACCUGCAGAAAAAGCGCCGGCUAACUACGUGCCAGCAGCCGCGGUAAUACGUAGGGCGCAAGCGUUAUCCGGAAUUAUUGGGCGUAAAGAGCUCGUAGGCGGUUUGUCGCGUCUGCUGUGAAAUCUGGGGGCUCAACCCCCAGCCUGCAGUGGGUACGGGCAGACUAGAGUGCGGUAGGGGAGAUUGGAAUUCCUGGUGUAGCGGUGGAAUGCGCAGAUAUCAGGAGGAACACCGAUGGCGAAGGCAGAUCUCUGGGCCGUAACUGACGCUGAGGAGCGAAAGGGUGGGGAGCAAACAGGCUUAGAUACCCUGGUAGUCCACCCCGUAAACGUUGGGAACUAGUUGUGGGGUCCAUUCCACGGAUUCCGUGACGCAGCUAACGCAUUAAGUUCCCCGCCUGGGGAGUACGGCCGCAAGGCUAAAACUCAAAGGAAUUGACGGGGACCCGCACAAGCGGCGGAGCAUGCGGAUUAAUUCGAUGCAACGCGAAGAACCUUACCAAGGCUUGACAUAUACGAGAACGGGCCAGAAAUGGUCAACUCUUUUGGACACUCGUAAACAGGUGGUGCAUGGUUGUCGUCAGCUCGUGUC